rnacentral:lncRNA from 1 species
UAUUUAAUAUGGAAAACUUCAAAUACCACCCCUGCGAUUUCAUAUUUUUUCACUUUAGUAUCCUGUGCUUUAAAGUAUAUCAAUCUAGUAUCUUCUGAUUUCUCACUUUUUCACUUCAGUACCCUGUGGUUUAAAGUGCAUUAAUUCAGUACCUUAUGGUUUCAUUUUUCUCUUUUAGUCGGCUCCUCUGUUAAUAUUUCGUUAAAUUAUAUACAAAAAACUUCAAAUACUCUACCUAGGUUUAUCAAAUAUUUAUUUUAGUACUCUAAUUUUGUCACUGGUUUUUUCCCUCUAUUAAUAUUUCGUUAAUUAUAUACAAAAAACUUUAGAUAUCCUACAUAGAUUUAUCGAAUAUUCACUUUAGUAUUUUUUAAUUUUAACUUUGUCACUGAUUUAACGAAAAAAAUUAGUGAAAUGGACAAUAAAAAGAGAAAAAUAAAAACACAGGAUACUAACUUGAUACACUUGUGGUAUACUAAAGUGAAAAAGUGUGAAACCACAGAACCUAACUUGAUACACUUUAAAUCAUAGAAUAUUAAAGUGAGAAAACGUGAAACCACGGAGUAUUCGAAGUUUACCCUAUAUAAUAAAGUGUUAUCUAAAAAAUAAUAAACAAAUAUACUAAUUAAUUAAUAUAAAAAUUUUAAUUAAUUAGUACAAAUAUUUUAAAAUCUAUUAACCUAUAUGAAUCCUCAAUGAUUUUGCCAUGUGGCAAGUUUUCCUCCACCCUCACUAACCUUUUUUUAAAAUUAAUCUUUAUCAUGGCUUUUCCCCUCCCCUUCUCUCUAUUCAAUGACAUAUAAUCAAUGUGCUUUUAAUUUAUACGUUACUGAGUUUUUCCUCUUCAAUAUAAGUUCUUUCUUCUCCCUCAAACAAUUCUUAAUAUGCAAAAUUAAAAGAGGAGAGGUUAGUUUUGAUUUCAUAAUUGAUGUGGCAGUUCUAACCAUUUCAUGCUCAAAAGGGUGCAAAAUCAUGCAAACUUCUAUAAGAUUUUCAUCGCCAUCGUCGUCAUGAUUGCAACAUUAUCAUCUCCAUCUUCAUACGACUUUUGUAGAUUUUUUCUUUAAAUGGUGAUUCUAGACAAUUAUCAAUUUCAAUGGUUAUAUUGGUUAGUUCAAUUCAUAUAUUUUCCUACCUAAAAAAUAAAACACACUUGAAUUUUUAUUUUCCAAACUCCUUUCUUCAUCCUCUUUAAUAUUUUUUAUUUUUUCUUUUAUUAUUUAUCCGCCGCAUCGCGCGGGUUACUACACUAGUAUUAUAUAGAUUUGCCAACAUUUGGGACCCAAAGCAUUUUCCCCUCUUAAUUGAAGGGAAUCCUAAAAGCAAACAUACAAUUUAUUGUUCCCUGCCACCAACUCCUUACACUUAACUAUUCCAACAAACCAAAAUAAUUUUUACAUCACCAACAAAUUCAACCAUU